UUCGCCUACAUUCCUACAACCAUUGUUUUUAACGAUGUGUCGAUUGCAUUCGAUCACUGAGACAUCAAUCUUCUUGUAAUCUUCUUGCUCUAUCUCUAUCUAUCUCUCUCUCUCUUUCUCUCUCUUUUUCUCUCUAUUUCUUUUUCUCUCGCUACUGCUACUUUUCUACUUCCCCCAACCUUUCUUCCUCUUAUCUUCCCCUUAUAUCCCCCUUUCCGAAACAACAUCUCUUCUACAUAAACUCUCAGAUGAUCUAUGAUAUAUUUUAGAGGAAACAACAACAACAACCAGUUCGCACUCUUUCGCGGCGUUGCUAUGGUCCAGCCCGUUGUCCUGUUGCGUUUCGAGAUUUAUUUUAGACGAGAGAGUUUUUCAACGUCCCUGUCAAAUGAAAUGAAACGUCCUCUUUGGAAAUAAAAAAGAUAAACGAUAAGAAGUAUCUAAGUUCACAUUGCCGAGUAAUCUAUCGUUCAACGUUCGAUCUAGCAACGCCGUUUCUCUGCGAGAACACAUUCUUUUCUACACACAUUCUGAUUGUCUGCGAUUGAUAGUAUCUCUGGUUUUCAUGCCGAUGUCAGUGUCAAUGUAUUUUCUUUCUCUCUCUCUCUCUCUCUCUCUUUCUAAUACUCUUCUUUGCACCCUGUUUUCUUGUUUUGUUAACCAUUACACUCGUCUACUAGGCAAUGACAACUUUUGUUUUAGAUGGGAACGAAUAUAAAAAAAAUAAAAAAAAGGAAGAAACAACAAAAAAAAAAAGCGGCACUUGUUAUACAAAUCGCUUGAGAUAUACUUAGCUGUUGCACUUGCACCCCUUUUUCGAAAAAAAAAGGAUGAUCUUUCUUUCCGUUUAUUAAUUGCCUUUCACUCUUUGACGACACACCGAACUACUUGCUUGUUUAUAUUAUUUAAUAUAAUAGAUGUGUGCUCUGACUGACGUUGCAUAAUCCGUAAUGGUGUAUCUUGUCUGGAUGUAGAAUAAUAGGAGCCGCAAAAAAAAAAAACAUUGUUUUCUUGGCGUAGCUGUUAACGAUUAAAUUCUCGAGUAAAAUACAUAUUUAAUUGCACCCGCGUAUUUUGAAUCAUUCAAAAUGCGCGAGGUCUUUGGGGAAAUGAGAAAGUGUUCCGCAUAAAAGAGCCUUUGUAUGCGUGCAUACGUGCGUGCGUGCACCCGCGCGCGCGUGUGUGUGUGUGUGUGUAACCACUGUAGAUCUUUAAUUAGACGACACGAUUAGAAAAUAAAGAAGAAGAAGUAUUAAAAAUUGAUCGAUUACGGCAACCAGUUAAGAAAGAUUAAUUGAUCAGAAAUGUUUCCAAUUCGAUUCGAUUGAGAAAAGUAUAUAAGAUAAAAAGAAAAAAAAAAGUUUUUCGAAGAGAUACCUCGCAGAAAAUUUGUCAAAGUUUAAAAGCAAUAUUUCAAUUUUCUCUUCUAUCCUUUUAUACUUAUAGCGAGAUUAAGAUCUUUAAGAAAUCCUUCGAGUUGCCUUACUUUUUUCUUUUUCCCCCGUUCUAUGGGCUUGAAUUAAUUCAAGCUUCUUCAAGUGCCACUAGAAAAUGUAAAUAACUGUUAAAGGCACUUUUCUUCGGUAUUUUAGAAAGACAAGAAUAUGUAUCUCGAAAUAGCAUCUUGCAUAAGCGAGUGAAGUUUAUUCAGGAGUAUUAUCUACUCCGUUUAACGAACAAACGAUCCUAACUGUAUAUAUAUACAUGUAUAUGUAUAUGUAUAUAUACGCAUCGGAUUGACGCUUCAAUCUGUUUUGGCUUUCAUCGCAACAUUCACGGAACGUAAUCGGCGCUGUUUCGCGUUUAAUCAAUCGCGUAUUCAAGGUGUGGAUCCGUGACAAGGAGGGACAGGGACCAGGGACAGGGAUAGGGACAGGGAUAGGGAUUGGGAUAGGGAUAGGGGUCCGUAUUGAUAUCGAUCUGUAUCACUUUGUGCGCGCGCACGCAUAUAGAACAAACCAGAGGGAGAUAGAUGUAUCUAUAUAUCUCUCAUUCUCUCAUCCGAUAAGAUAUAACGUAGGUUAACUUCGAUCGAAACUCGAACAACAAGAGAGUCCUCUUAUCUAAGAGAGAGAAGAGUCCCUUUUCCUCUCUCGAGGGAAUUCGUGCUGCUAAGCUAAACGAGUGGGCCCCACGUCUGCGAUAAAAUUUCAAACUUGUACGCUCGGCGAACCAUAAAGUAGUAUGUCGUCAUCGAAUUUUCGAAACUUCUUCUUUUAUCGAUUCGCGUUAAAUGUCCUUUGUUCUACGACCUUCUCGAAUACUCCCAAUUCAAUUACUCAAAAACUCAUUUUAGAUUCAUUGAUUCGAAUUAAUCGUACCGUUUUUUCGAUGCUUUCAAUUCAAAUUAAAUGAUUGACCGAAUUAUCUUUGUUUUUGUUAAAUUAAAUGAUUUUCAUUAACGUUAGUUGAGAAUUUUGUUGUUUUUCCAGUGAUUAUAAGAAAAUAUAAUCUGUCUGAACGAAAUAAUGUGAAUUUUAAGAAUUUUUGAAGAUACUAGGUUUAUCAAUUUAGUAAAGAGAAAAAAAAACCGAUAUCUCAAUUUAGAGUUUAAUUAUCGUUACUAAAAAUCUUAUCAGUUAUCAAAGAGAUAUUAUAGAACACACCCUCGUGUACGUCACAACGGGGAGAAAAAAAAAAUUAAAUUAGAGAGGAAAAAAAAAUAUAGAUGACACAUCGCGGUAUAGAAGUUUAAGAAAUAUAUACGGGGGACGACUGCGGUGGUUUGAAUUCAACCGACAUUAUUUUUCGAGUUCUCGACGUAUAAUAUCUUUUCCCGACGUUAUAUUGUUAAUGAUUUGGAUUUUUAUUCGUCACCCCGGUAAAAUUCAAAGUACCGAGAGAAUAAAUAUAUAUUUCCAAAAUAAUAAAACGCGUUGAGAAUUUUACGACGAAAUGUUACGAAAUAACGUCGUCGCACGGGGUUGCAUUUUUCUACGUGACAUUUUGCACAGCUUCUUCGCAUAUUUACGUAAAUACAUUACUUCUCCACAUUUUUGGUUGGUGUAUAUGUAUGUAUGCGCGAUGACGUUAUGUGACACACGUUAACGGACACAUAAGUUCGCGCUUUUCUUUACUUUUCUCUCUCUCUUUCUUUAUUUCUUUCUCUUAACAUUCUCGUUGCACACGAGUAUGCAUAUCGCACAGUUUUCCUCGGUGAGAUCUUAAGUAAUUAAUCUUGGUCGCGACGUUAGACCCUUCAAUGCGUCUCAUUGACAAAGCAAAACCUUCGUUGCUUGUCCUUAAAAAUAAAAAGUUACAAAAAAAAGAAAAAUCCGAAACAAAAAGUAGAGAAAUGAAAGAAGCGAACUAACUAUGAUGGAAAGUUAUUUUGAACACUUUAUACAGGCUGAUUCACGAAAAAAAAGUCAAAUGUGUAACUUUUCAUGCAGUUUUAUAUACAGUGUUCAUUUUGAACAUCUGUAACAAGAGGUGUAAUGGUCAGAUCAUAAUCGGACAAUAAUUAAUUAUUAAUAAUAACAUAUUAGUUUUAUUUAAUGAAUUAAACGACGAGUAUUAUGUUUGGGAAACAUCUACGAUUAAUUUCAAUUUUUUUUUACUUUUUUUUUGAUGUCCAUGACCUUGAAUAUAGAUGACCAUUGAAUUUGUCUUGUGAAAAGGGCUACAAUUGUGGGUGUUCAAAAAUGCAUAGUUCCGUUUAAAAAAAAAUGACCUUUAAAUUUUCUAAGCGUUUCCGUUCGGCUAAAAAAUGAUACUCAUUGUAUAAACAACUUUUACUUCAAUUCAUUCUUUAUCGUUAUACUAAAAUUGUAGGAGUUAUUCGGGGUAGCCGACAGAGGUGUUAGCUGACUCAUCCUGUAUAUUACAAUGCAAUAUUAUAUAUAUAUAUAUAGUUCUUAUUAUCGAAGAAGUUGCACACCCACGGUUCAUUCCGUUAUAGAUGAACAUAUCUAAUGUUCUUGACGUCAAAAUCAAUGUUACCGAACAUUCUCAAAGUUUCGUUGUCAUCACUUUUUCCGUCGUAAGAAAAUCUUGCACUAGUUUAUGAAUUGCAUACGUUAAAUGCAAGUUAGUUGUGACGUGUUCAUAUAAAUUUUGACAUUAAACGUGACUUUAAAAAUCAUGCUUCAAAAAAUUCAUUACCUUUUUUUCGUGAAUCACUUUGUGUACAUUAUCGGUUUAUUUGAUAAACUCGUAAAAAUUUUCGAAUGAAAAUGUAACUAAAAAUGUAUACAAUUUUUAUAUAAUUACAUACAUAUAUAUAUUUUGUCCAUUAAAAAUAAUGACUAAUCGUCAGUUUCCAAAUGAAUCAGCAUGUACAUAUUACAUAUAUACGUCGCGUAGAGUCCCUACCUAAUGAACUUUUCAACGAGGAAACUUUAUACGUAUAAAUGGCGGCGUCUUUAACUUACGAGUGGGUACCGGAUUGAGUAAUUUAUAAUCCGAACUGUGCGAGAACGCUCGCACACUCUCACACAUACACACACAUACACACAAACACACGUAGAAACUUUAAUUGGAUCCCGUAGAAUCUUUUACCGAAGGAAAAGAUAUAUUCCGAGAUAUUUUGCCGGUUUGUAACAUAUCGUUAAAAUGACCUUACGUGGCAUCAUCGAUGCGUGUAAAUGCUGCUGCAAACAUCCUACCGUGACGAGAUCUUGCCACUCGUUAUGAAAUUUCGCAUAAUUUAUCAUGCGAAUAGAUACCUCCCAUGUAUAGACACUUCAGAGGAAGGAAUUAAAUGAUUGGCCUGAAUUUAUUCGGCUGAUUAAAACAACGCUUGGCAAUUAUUCUAUGCUCAUUCAGUCAAUUGGAUGAAUCCAAUUUCCGAAGAAGAAAAACGGAACUACUAUUCGUCCGAGGGAAAUGAUUUCGCUUAAUUGUUUUUACCGUAAGAUAUUUGACCCGACGGGGGUAGUUCAGUCUCGUCGAAUAUAGAGUAGAAUCAAAGCUAUCUCUAAAAUUUGAUCGAUCUUUACUUGCUCGAUAUCGAUAGGGAAAGCUUGCACAUCUAGUCGAGGAUUGUAUUUAGUAUUCGUGCACAUACUCUCGUUGAGUGAAUAGAGGGUUCUCUCUAUUUAUCGUAAUACGUAUUCGAAGCCCGAAUUUCUAAGAAAUCACCUUGCGUACAUUCGAUGCUAAACUUUUUUUAGUUGUGUUAUUAUGCUGGCCCGUAAUCGAUGCUCGAUCAUCAUCAUCAUCAUCAUCAUCAUCAUCAUCCUGCGUACAUCAUUUGUACUCUCGUAGAGAGGCGCUUGUGCUUUCGAUCAAAAAAAAAAUAACAAAAGAACACGACGACGCUGCAAAUCCGAGCAUUCGAAUUUUGUAGGAGUUUGGAUUUUUGAUUUUUGAUUACCUAUUUUUUAAAUACUAAAAUGAUGUAUUAUUCCAUCCGAUGAAAUCUCUCGUAACGAGUAUUAUUACGAUCGCAUUAUAUCAUCUACGUAUACGUACAUAAAAAAAGAAAAAGUAGAAAUUAAGGAAUCGAUCGAUGAGUGUGAUGCGAUGUGAUGAAAGAUGUUAAGAUGCCGAUUGCCGAUUAAAAAGUCAUGGUAGUAUUGUGUUGCUGUUAUUGUCGUUGCUAAUGCUCUUGCUAUUGUUCUCUUGUCGCUGUUUCUCUUUAAACGUUUGAACGUUGGUUGCGUCGAUAUAUCGCUGUUGUUUUAGCUGGCGCUCCCGUUGUGUUGUAACAUUAUUAUUGUAUCAAUGUUAAUAUUGAUUGUAUUGUAUUUAUCUCUUAAACACAUCGUGUUUUAAUAACGUCAUUGUGAUCUGUUUCUCAUGGGAUAUAAUAUAUUCCAUUUCUUAUCGUUAAUAUAUCGUUUACAUCGGGCAUAGUGAAUAAAAUAAUUUUAUUCAUUUUCUUCAACAUUUUGUAGAGUUUUUAUCUGAUUACGAAAGUAUUUAUAUACAUAGAUACAAAUUAUUUCACAUGUCGAUGUAAAAAGUAAAAAAGAAAAAAAGAGAGAUACAGUAAAAAUCGAUGAACAUUAAACGGAAAUAUUAUUUAACAA
rnacentral:lncRNA from 1 species